GAUGAACGCUGGCGGCGUGCCUAAUACAUGCAAGUCGAGCGAAUGGAUUAAGAGCUUGCUCUUAUGAAGUUAGCGGCGGACGGGUGAGUAACACGUGAGUAACCUGCCCAUAAGACUGGGAUAACUCCGGGAAACCGGGGCUAAUACCGGAUAAUAUUUUGAACUGCAUGGUUCAAAAUUGAAAGGCGGCUUCGGCUGUCACUUAUGGAUGGACCCGGGUCGAUUUAGCUAGUUGGUGAGCUAACGGCUCACCAAGGCAAAGAUGCGUAGCCGACCUGAGGGGGUGAUCGGCCACACUGGGACUGGGACACGGCCCAGACUCCUACGGGAGGCAGCAGUAGGGAAUCUUCCGCAAUGGACGAAAGUCUGACGGAGCAACGCCGCGUGAGUGAUGAAGGCUUUCGGGUCGUAAAACUCUGUUGUUAGGGAAGAACAAGUGCUAGUUGAAUAAGCUGGCACCUUGACGGUACCUAACAAGAAAGCCACGGCUAACUACGUGCCAGCCGCCGCCGUAA
rnacentral:rRNA from 1 species